AAAACGUGGCGGCGUGCUUACACAUGCAGUCGAACGGAAAGGCCCUUCGGGGGUACUCGAGUGGCGAACGGGUGAGUAACACGUGGGUGAUCUGCCCUGCACUCUGGGACUAGCCUGGGAAACUGGGUCUAAAUACCGGAUACACCCUUCUGGUCGCAUGGCCUGGGAGGGGAAAGCUUUUGCGGUGUGGGAUGGGCCCGCGGCCUAUCAGCUUGUUGGUGGGGUGAUGGCCUACCAAUGCGACGACGGGUAGCCGGCCUGAGAGGGUGUCCGGCCACACUGGGACUGAGAUACGGCCCAGACUCCUACGGGAGGCAGCAGUGGGGAAUAUUGCACAAUGGGCGCAAGCCUGAUGCAGCGACGCCGCGUGAGGGAUGACGGCCUUCGGGUUGUAAACCUCUUUCACCAGUGACGAAGCGCGAGUGACGGUACCUGGAGAAGAAGCACCGGCCAACUACGUGCCAGCAGCCGCGGUAAUACGUAGGGUGCGAGCGUUGUCCGGAAUUACUGGGCGUAAAGAGCUCGUAGGCGGUUUGUCGCG
rnacentral:rRNA from 1 species